rnacentral:rRNA from 1 species
GACGAACGCUGGCGGCGUGCUUAACACAUGCCAGUCGAACGGAAAGGCCCUGCUUUUGUGGGGUGCUCGAGUGGCGAACGGGUGAGUAACACGUGAGUAACCUGCCCUUGACUUUGGGAUAACUUCAGGAAACUGGGGCUAAUACCGGAUAGGAGCUCCUGCUGCAUGGUGGGGGUUGGAAAGUUUCGGCGGUUGGGGAUGGACUCGCGGCUUAUCAGCUUGUUGGUGGGGUAGUGGCUUACCAAGGCUUUGACGGGUAGCCGGCCUGAGAGGGUGACCGGCAAAAUUGGGACUGAGAUACGGACCAGACUGCUACGGGAGGCAGCAGUGGGGAAUAUUGCACAAUGGGCGGAAGCCUGAUGCAGCAACGCCGCGUGCGGGAUGACGGCCUUCGGGUUGUAAACCGCUUUCGCCUGUGACGAAGCGUGAGUGACGGUAAUGGGUAAAGAAGCACCGGCUAACUACGUG